rnacentral:lncRNA from 1 species
CCUGCCACAUAUGGAUAUUCCCCAGCUAGGGUUCAAAUCAGAGCUGCAGCUGCCGGCCUACACCCCAGCCACAGCAAUGCCAGAUCCUUAACCCACUGAGUGAGGCCAGGGGUCGAACCCAUAUCCUCAUGGACACUAUGUCAGGUCCUUAACCUGCUGAGCCACAACGGGAACUCCUGUUUAUUGCUAAAUCGCGAGUGAAGGAUACAGCCAGUCUAGGGGCCCAGGGGCCAUGCUGAGGCUGGAGCUGCAGGGCUUCUGAGGAAGGGGCCUGAGGGAAACCAGAAUCCCCCCAACUCUUCCUUCUUGGAAGCAGGAGGGUCUAUCUAAGCAGACACGGGUCUGUCCUCUCCCACUGGAGAACAUUUCAAAUAGAUGUUGGGUAAAUAUCUCCAGAAUCCCUGAGCCAAAACAGACCCUCCUAAUGCGUGUUCCGUGUAACACCCGUCCUGCAAGAAGCUUAUCGUGCAAAGGCCAAGCAGCUCUGCAGAGUUUGACCUACCGUAGCGCACAGGGAAUUAUAGUCAAUAUCUUGUAAUCACUUUUAAUGGAAAAGAAUCUGAAAAAGAACAUCGACAUAUGUGUUCGUAUAACUGAAUCCCUCUGACGUACACUUGAAACUAUCACCGCACUGGAAAUUAACUAGACCUCGAUAACUUAAAAAAUUCAGUAAGAUGAAUGGAGGGAUUGGCCCAAGGCCAACUCUACCCGGUGUUCUGUGACAAUGCGAGAAGAAUCUGAAAGAGAAUGGAUGUGUGCACAUGUGUCACUGAAUCACUUUGUGGAGCGGCAGAAUGUCUUACAAGGUUGCAAAUCAACUAUAUGUCAGUAAAACUUUAAAAAAUGAAAAAAAACAUAAAAAUGAAAAACUCAGUAAGUAUCUGGCAUCCUGUUUAACGGGUAACCAAUGGAGCCUCCUUAGGGAACUUGAGGCAGGAGUGUCCUUCCCGGGUCUACCCCCCCUCCUGCCCCCCCUUCUCCCUCCCCCCAUCUCACAUCUGAUUGGUUCCCACCAUCCUGAGAAGGGGGGGCUCAAAGCACGGAGGGCGGAAGAAACGUGUCCGACAAAGCACACAUUCCUUGAAAAGAAUCCGUUAACCUCAUUUGGCAAAUUCCUCACUUUCUUUAAAUGUGUCCAAGAUCAGAGGAAGUCAAGGGUGGGGGGGACUAGAAAUUUAACUGAGGAUGAAAUGCAAUCACUUCAUUUCUUUACACUGGUUGCCUGAAUUUUAUCUUCAUUCCCACAGUGGGUGACUUUGAGGCUGGAGACGUUCACACAACGCUGGAGCCCCCUCAAAAUGUAGGAAGACCUCGGACCACUCCCUCUGAGCUAAAGACAAGGGCUUAUGGACAGCAGGCCGCUGUCUCCACCUCCCGGCCAUCCCACUUUGGCCAGGCCAAUCCUGCUUCUCCAUGGUCCUUCAGAGAAGGUUGGCCUCCUAGAACCCACGGCUGUCCCAGCAAGGAGGGAGGGGAGAGGGCACCCGGCUGCCCUGAACCACUGACUGCAGCAGCUUCAAUUAGGCGCAGGGGUGUGGAGGCUCAGGGCCAGCUCGGGAACCCCCGUGCCUCCCCUCUUGCCUGCCUGUGAAGGGCUCAUUACUGAGAUGGCAAAAUCUUAUUCUGGCUUUAGACGCGUUCUUCCAACUUAAGAAAGGAUUACUGUGUUUUUGAUAUCACAAUUAAAAUGGAUCCGUAGGGAGAACUCAUGAUUGAUCCUUGAACUCCUGUGCUGAUCUGUUGAAAGAGCAAAAAUAGGCCUCGAGCAGAAACCCUGAACCACUGAGAUCAAUAUCAGAGCCCUGCCAGUGCCAUGGCUGCAGGCUUCCUGGGCAGGAUGAGGCUGGCAAUUAAAGGAAGGGGCUUGGUGGGAGUUCCCGCUGUGGCUCAGUGGGUAACAAAUCUGACUAGCAUCCAUGAGGGCACAGGUUCAACCCCUGGCCUUGCUCAGUGGUGGGAGCCACUAGCCUGGGAAACUCUAUAUGCCGAAGGUGCGGCCCUAAAGAAAAAAAAAAAAAAAAAAGUACCACUAAAGGAAGGGGCUUGGCGUGAACACCUCACCGGGGACAUGUGACCUUGACUGCCAAGUGAACAAACAAGUGUCCUUGGGGCCGUCAACACCCUCACCGCUUCUUUGGCAAAAAUGUCUGCAAGGACCUCGGCUACCAAGACAAAAGCCAUCUUGCUAAAUUGAAACAAAGCUCAGUGAAACCAGGUUGGCCAUGGAAGAGUGAUUUUUCUUUUUUUUUCUUUUUUUUUU